CCUGGCGGCCGUAGCGCGGUGGUCCCACCUGACCCCAUGCCGAACUCAGAAGUGAAACGCCGUAGCGCCGAUGGUAGUGUGGGGUCUCCCCAUGC
rnacentral:rRNA from 6 species